CAACGAGUGAAGCUCCGGAGCAAAGACGCAGACAUGGCCGACAGCACUCACUGAAACAGCCAAGGUGGAAAUGCUAUGGAGACAUAGGUGUUGAACAGCAUAUUUGAGCCUGAAUCAGAGGAAGAAUCUGAAAUAGACGAGCAACCAGUCGCCCAUAGAUUGGAAAUGACUACUUCAGAGUGAUGUCCAGUUAGAAGCUAGCUGAAAAGUUCGUAGCCAGUCGUGGGCAGUUCAGGCUAUGCUGUAGUGAAAGGAGUGCUGCUUGCAAGGAAAGUACUCGUUUUAGUCAGUUAUUAAAAGAAUGACCCAGGUUCCUGAGGAGCUGACCUGAAUGACCAUCAUGGCCUCGAUCCGUUGUGCCUCUAUAUUCUUUGCAAAAUGCAAUGAAUAUUUACAGAGCUGACCAUGGCCGUUUGAGAAUCAGAGGAAUGGAAAGGCAAUGAAGUGACUUGGCCUACAGGUCUUUUGUGAGCAGGAGCUGGGGUUUCCUUAGAAGAAGCGUCCGUGUCAUGAUCCCCUCGUGUGUGGUGCUACGCAUAUGGAGGGAGCUUCCGGAUACUUCAGGGCAGUACGUUGGAUUCAGACCCCUUUUCGACUGAACCGUGACACAUGUUCAGCAACAGCAUCCUCCAUGGAAGGUCUGUCAAGCUGAGCACACAAGUCCUGGGGCACAGGAAUCCGCUGGACGGCAUCCCAAUAAGGAAGAGGGUCUUUGAUCUCGAAGAGGACAAGAAAGAGGACUUAUAUUGGAUAAUGUAAUACAGUGCAUUGUAGGCUGUAUACUGUACAAUAAACAAAUUGUAUGGCCCUGAACAUUGUGCUUUGUUUACAGUACUGAUGAUGAUUUCGACACCAGUAGCAUCAGGUCUAAGACAGCCUGUUGUGUGUGAAUCGAUAAGUUCUUUUUAGUGCCUAUACUGUUGCACAUUUUGAUUUGUUGUUUGUAAUAAAAAUAUAU